AGGCUUUGGCAAUGGGGGAAACCCUGACCAAGCGACGCCGCGUGGAGGAUGAAGGCCCUUGGGUUGUAAACUCCUUUUGCAGGGGAAGAAAUGCGAUCAGGUGAAUAAUCUGGUCGUUUGACGGUACCCUGCGAAUAAGCUCCGGCUAACUACGUGCCAGCAGCCGCGGUAACACGUAGGAGACGAGCGUUAUCCGGAUUUACUGGGCGUAAAGCGCGGGUCGGUGGGGUCUUAAGUCAUGCGUGAAAGCUCUCGGCUUAACCGGGAGAGGUCGUGUGAAACUGGGGCUCUCAGAGGUAGGUAGAGGCAGAUGGAAUUCCGGGUGGAGUGGUGAAAUGCGUAGAGAUCCGGAGGAACACCAGUGGCGAAGGCGAUCUGCUAGGCCUGACCUGACACUCAGCCGCGACAGCAUGGGGAGCGAAC
rnacentral:rRNA from 1 species